UUAAGUAGCACAUGAGUAAAACUCGUUUUUAAUACAUUGUGUGAUGCUUUAGCUGUUUUAUGUUUCUUCCUGUAGAAUCUGAACACACUGUGUUCAAAAUCAAAAACAACCACCGUGAACACCACUACACUGGCAUCAUCAAGGACAUCAGGCAUCUGAGGAGCCACUUUUAAACCACAUUGCCUUGGAAGUACCUCCGACGCCAUGCCGCUGUCAUCUAAACUUAAGGAGCUAUCUGACUGGUGGAUCCUUUUGAUUUAUUUUGGUCCAAGUCACAUGCAGGAAGUGGAUCGUCUCUCUGUGACCUGAACAAAGUCCUCCAUUCUGUCUGGGAUGAAUGUGCUGCAGUGAUUACUAACCAGAAACAGCAGAAAUAAAUUAGUUUUUAAAAGCCAACAGAGGGCAGCAUUGAAGAGUGCCAGGCAGUCCGCUCGGCACAGCAAGGCUGGCCCUGUGGAAAACGGCAGACUUGGAAAGUCGAGCAGCUGUUUCUGAGCCCAGAAGACGUUCUCUUUCUCAGAAGAGGAGUGACCAUAAAAAAUCAGAGUGGGUUGAGGUGAAGCCUACAACAAAUGGACUCGAAUAAAAACUUCCAUGUAUCGGCAGUGAACCUGGUAUCCCUACGGCUGGAAACCUUCUUUUGUUGUUGCAACUACAACCUUCACACACUAGAUGUCACUUUGGUGUUCAUUUUUCAUAUUCCACCUUUAAUAUUGGUGUCCACCAAUGUUAGUAAUUGGUCAUGUGACAGUGAUGAUAAUCAUCUCAGAAGCAAAAAGGCAUGAGUGUUCAUUUAAUUUAUUUAAUUUAGAAAACAAAUUGGCUUCAAACAUUUUUUAUGCCUCUUGACAGCGUUCUAAAUUGUGGCUCUUACACACUAUCGUCGGCUCCAAUCCACCUGGACCGGGUUGUAGCCUUGGAUUUUCUUGCGUACGACUGAACGUCUUUUCAGCCCUCUUCUCGAGGCGGUGUGCCUGGAGCCGAACUGGUCCAACACGCCCACUGCUGACUGACUGGCUGGCUGGCUCACGCGUACCAUUAGCGGGAGCCUCCGAUUGGCUGAUAGAAUCAGCUCACUUCCUGCGUGCACGAGUCAUUAUCAUUCUUGAUGCUGUGGAGUUAACGAGCCUCUGACUGAUGCUGUUUUUCUUUGUCUCUCACUGCUGUGAGGAGCGCGCGCGCACGCACACACACACACACACACACACACACAGACACACACACACUAACACACACACUAACACAAAACGCUGCCAGACACAACAAAGCAAGAUGCAAAAUCAGAGUCAGAGUCUCCAAAAGCAAGACUGCUUAGGCCGCUUUUGUUUAAUAAUAGAGACACUGCAGACUUCUCCGGGCUCUUGUGCCCCGCCCACGUGCUCAGAGAUGCGCUCAUGACAUCACAGACCACAGAUCGCCCAUGUGCUCAAUCACGUCCAAAUUCCUAAGGCAGUGUGGAACGAACGCGGCCAGGCAGGGAGCUGAUGCCAGUAAGUGGCAAUAGUAUCGCUAUAAAUAUAUUGCGGAGAUUAAAAAAAGGAAAAAUUAGUAAAGUGGUUUUUCUCACAUUUGUCUAAAAACCUCCACCAAUUACACAUUUUGGACUGAAAGCAACCAUUGGACCAUCUGGUUGUCAGUCUUUCCAAACUGCUGUAUUUAGCAACAGAACAUCACUGCUGUGAGAGGUUUGCGGCUCAACAAUAUCAGAGAAGGAGAAACAGCCGGCUGCUACCACUUCAGCUUUAGAUUCCCAAAUAGAAAAACAUCAUUUGAAGUCACGGACGACAAAAGACGUUCAGACCCAGAAAACGGCGACUGGCGCUCUCUCGUUACAUCCAACAUUGUGGGUUCCCGUUUUAGGGAAGAUACCCAACGGGAGGGGUGAGUGUUCCGUGACCAUGUUUGUGUUCAAAACCUAGCUUGUUUGCAGAUAUGCCAUAACGGCUUUACUAUAUCCGUCACUGUCCAUAACAUAAUAUCAAUAUUAUAAGAUUUGUAUUUGGUCUCACUGUGUCCAGCUGUUAGCUUGUGAAUCUGGUCAGAAAUAAUCUUCUGCAAACUUUAACCGUGUAGGGAACUAAUCUUUCGAUAGCAACACUUCAAAAGAACUGAACAAUGAUUUUAAAACAAGGGAAAACAGCUGUAAAACUCAAAGGGAAGCAUUUUCCUUCAAGUGGAAAAAGGACCUUUUAUUGUGAAGUUAGGACUAAAUAGUCAAAAAUAUUUACUGAAUAAAAUGGCUGAUUGUGACCUUAAUGAAGACAUGUUUGAAUGUGUGUAAAGAUAAUAGAUAAUAUGCUGAUUUGACUUGUUUAUUGGUGUGAAUUAAGAGUUAUUUUAAGUUGUUGUUGUUAUUUAUUACAAAAGCAAACAACCACAGUUUGACACAAAACCAUGGAAGUAAAAAGCACACAACGCAACAUUUUCACACAACUUACUGUAACAACUUUCCUGACAAUCAUUAGAUUUUAUCACAAUUGAUCACAUUUCUAACAAUAUUUUGAUGUUUUCUUUACUGCGAAACCCAUUUUGACAGCGUAUUGGCAACAAGAGAUGCUAUCAGCGAUUGAUCUACAGCUCGCUGUGUUCAAAGGCUGGUCACCGUCUGAGGACUGCAGUUCAGGGGUGUGUGUGUGUGUGUGUGUGUGCGCGUGUGUAUUUGCUGACCUUCUAGAUCAGCCAAGCUUGUAGCACUUAUUGGUUAAUCGUUCAAAUAGCUCCUAUGUGCACUCUCACAUUUACAAAGGUGGCAGGACUUGAAGACCGUAGGGGUUCGUGUGUGAUGUUGCCGCACUGUUUUAUCUGAAUUUGGUUCAAGGAAGCCCCCAUUCAUAACGCGGCACUGACCGACAGAUACCAUCUUUUACAUGCACAUCUCACGUUUUGCAUGCAGCAGUGACAUUAAAAUCAUUUCACACCCAGAGCAUUGCAUGCCUCUGAUCCUCUAAUGAGAGGCAGGCUGUCAUUAGAGCCCACUUCUACUUUCCUACAGAUAAAUGUAGUUAUGAGAUGUCUUUUUGUUCACGUGAAGCCUUUAUCGUGACACUUCACUGCUUUUGGCUGCAUAAGCGUAACCAGGCAACGGCAAAUCUGAAAGCUGUCUCUUCAGAGACACCAUCACCAUAACUCUGAGAGCUCUCCAGACAACUUGAUGAUCUUUGACUGAUCCAACUGCAGCCCACAUGAUCACUGCUGUGCCUUUUUUAGGCAGCUGAAAACUCAUCAAAACCUUCUCCGCAUUUGUCUCUUUCUACCUACUCUGCCUUUCCUGGGAUCCACUAAUUAACUAUUUCUUAUUCAUUUUCUCUUUCCCUUUCCUCGAUUUUUUCCACAAUUUCUUACUCAUCCAAAUUUUUUUAUCAUUUUAAAUUAAAUUCUUUUGUUCUUGUGAAGCACCUGUGAUUUUAUCUUGAGAGGCGAUGUAUAAAAAAAUAAUUUCUUCUUCUUCU